GAUGAACGCUGGCGGCGUGCCUAAUACAUGCAAGUCGAGCGAACGGACGAGAAGCUUGCUUCUCUGAUGUUAGCGGCGGACGGGUGAGUAACACGUGGAUAACCUACCUAUAAGACUGGGAUAACUUCGGGAAACCGGAGCUACUACCGGAUAAUAUUUUGAACCGCAUUGUUCAAAAGUGAAAGACGGUCUUGCUGUCACUUAUAGCUGGAUCCGCGCUGCAUUAUCUAGUUGGUAAGGUAACGGCUUACCAAGGCAACGAUGAAUAGCCGACCUGAGAGGGUGAUCGGCCACACUGGAACUGAGACACGGUCCAGACUCCUACGGGAGGCAGCAGUAGGGAAUAUUCCGCAAUGGGCGAAAGCCUGACGGAGCAACGCCGCGUGAGUGAUGAAGGUCUUCGGAUCGUAAAACUCUGUUAUUAGGGAAGAACAUAUGUGUAAGUAACUGUGCACAUCUUGACGGUACCUAAUCAGAAAGCCACGGCUAACUACGUG
rnacentral:rRNA from 1 species